rnacentral:lncRNA from 1 species
UGCGCACGUGAAGACUGAAUCUGUCUGCAGUAAUUAUUAUUCAAACUUAUCAAAAUAUUUCGUAAUUAAAUAAAAUAUUCACCGCAAUCUAUAGAUCUUACUGACCUUGUCAUCUGAUAAAUGUCUGGUUCAUUACCAACUUCACGGUCACCAAUUGGAGCAUCCGGAAAAUCCACAUCGAUAUCAUUAUGUAGCAGGUUUGUGUAAUAAUCUUGCGACUGAUAUUGUGUCUCCGACGGAUAUAAAUCUUUCUCGAUGUAUAGCGACACACAUCCAUAAUGUUCAGAUAAUCCAAUUAAACCCUCCAAUGAUUCAUCAUCUACUAUAUCAUGAUCAAUAUAUUCAUUUGCUCCCAUAGGGUAUCGAAUUUUGUAUUUAAGACAACAUUCUUCUCUAUUACAAUUUACUAAACGAUACAUUCGAUCUCCUCUCAAAAUUCGUAUAGGUCGUAUCUGAACGAAUCGCGAUCAAUUUCUUUCGACCAUCGAAAUAUCGGGGACCAUUUCCAUCCAUAACUAACUGUCCAUCCCAAUGAACACUAAGAGACAUUCGACGACUAGCCAUUUUAACUACACAGGAAAAAGAAUCCUAAUUAUUUCCAACGACUAGCAAUAAACCUCCAAAAGAGGUUUCUAUAGUAGAAUACUAAUUAUUUUCAAUUCCGAAAUCAAAUCAAUUAGUAACCAAAUAAGCUAUUCCAAUUAGUAACCAAAUAACCUUCAAAAGAGAUUUCUAUAGUGCAUUUGUGCAUUUCAAAGGCAUAAGUCUCUUACACCUAUGAGAGGGAUGGGCAUAAGGCAAAUACACAAUCUCUAGAUAAUAUCUUACAGUUAGAGAAGCUUACACCAAAUACAAAGUGCAUUUGUGCCAUUUCAAAGGCAUAAGGCACUUACAUUUACAUUAAACCUACACUAGAGUUAAACCUACACUUACAGUUACAUUAAACCUACAUUUACAUUAAACCUACACUUACAGUUAGAGAAGCUUACAACAACUACAUUUACAUUAAACCUACACUAGAAAACACACCUGAGAGAGGGAUGGGCAGCGACCUCGGCAGGGGCGGCGGCGGCGACGUCGGCGACCGUGGGCGGCGACCUUGGCACGGGCGGCUGCGACAGGGGGCGGCGACUUUGGCACGGGCGGCGACGUCAGCGACAGGGGGCGGCGACUUUGGCACGGGCGGCGGCGACAGGGGCGGCGACCUCGGCACGGGUAGCGGCGACAGGGGGCGGCUCGUGGAGAGAGACAGAGAGAUAGAGAGAGAAGAUGUGAGCGGGAAAAGGAAGGGAGAGGUAUCGGGCUCGGUCUGGGGGUCGGGUAACCUAAUGAAGACAGUGAACGGUUCACCGUCUUCAUAAGACGGUGAAUCGUUAACCGUGUAAUGAAGACGGUAGACAGUUCACCGUCUUAUCUAGGAGUCAGGCGCUAAAGAUGGUGUUAAUCGUGUUUAGUGGAAUCCAGAUGAGACGGUGAACUACUCACUGUCUUAUCUGUGUUUUAGCCCCCCUCUCGAGGACUUUGCGAAAUUAGGCUGGGUGGAGUUCUACACUAAAGACAGGGAUUUCUUCAGGCGGCAUAGAUAAGGCGGUAAACGAAUAACCGCCUUAUCAGAAUGCCCUAGAUAAGGCGGUAAACUAUUCACCGCCUUUGUCAAAGCGGUAAACGAGUGACCGUCUUCCGUAGGCACCUAGCGCCACGCGGGGAAUUGCUGAGAGGGCGGUGGCCUCGAUAAGACGGUAAACGAUUCACCGCCUUCAUAAGGUGGUAAACGAGUCAGCGUCUUCUCGGGACACCUUAGGCUACGCGGGAAAUUGCUGAGAAGGCGGGAGGAAUUGCUGAGAAGGCGGUGCCUCGAGAAGGCGGUGAACCAUUCACCGCCUUCAAGACGUUAGACCUAAAGAUGGUGAACAAGUCACCGUCUUUGUGAGAAAUACUGAUGUGGCGGCUGAGGGGGCGAGAGAAGGGUUAGUUUCACAAAUAAAAAUUUCACAGGAUUAUUUUGGCAAUUACGAAAUUUUAAAGGGUUAUUUUUGAAAAAAAGUUCAAAAAAAAACAACACACACGUACUUCCAUUGUGUGGAGGCAGAGGCGGGGUCGCAACAUUGCCGUUGCCCCUUUUCCCCCGUCACCUUCUCUCUCUCUCUCUCUCUCUCUCUUUUCUAUUAUGUGAUCGAGACCAAGGAAGGAAAAGCAAAAAAAAAAAACAAAAAACGAGAUAAAAAUCUUAUUUUGGGGGUAUACCCAUCGUAAAUAUCUCCUCUUGUUCUUCAAAAAGCUCUAGGAUUUGUUGGUUUUGGUGCUUGAAUCAUUAGUUUUAAAAAAGAAACUAAGAGAGAGAGAGGGAAAAGAGGGAGAAAGGAGAUGGGGAAUUGCGUGGACACUUCAGUGAGGGUUGGGCACGCUCAUCAAACAACUUGUGAGUUUGAUUGUUUUUUUUUUUUUUUUUAAGGUUGAAUUUGGUUUUGUUAUGUUUUUUUUUUAUUUUUGUGUGUGUGUGUGUAUUUUUGGUUUAAAGUGGGUGAGUGUUUUUUUUCCUUUUUGUUUUAAAGAUUGUAACAUAAUAGAGAGAGUAUUCAUAUAUAGCUUAAAGAUUCAAUUUUUACAAGUCAUUAUUAGCAAAUAGUUCAUAUAUAGCUCAAAAUUUGAGUUUUUAACCAUUUGGAUUUGGAUUAUACAGUUUCUAGCAUCUGGGUUUUUCCUCUAAAACUAACUCUUUGAAACUAAUAGUAAUUAUACUUGUACUUCGUUUUCUAUCAAAACUGGGUAAUAUCUUUAAAAAAAAAAAAAAUUGGGGUUUGUGAAUGAAACAAAGAUUAUGGACUGAGCUUUGGGUAUUCCAUAUUCUUUCUUAUAUAUUGGGAGCAUCCUCUUAAAAUCCUGCUUAAAUCAGAUAUUUUUCCUGUUUAAAUCCACACCUAGAUAAUAAUAAUAAUAAGGUUGGUAUAUUUAUCUCCUUUGUAGCAUAAGAACCUUUUUGGUAUUAUUUUAGGGGAUGUUUUGGUUCUUUGGAGAAACAUGGAAAACUAUAAUUUUCAAAAAAAAAAAAAAAAAGUUUUUUUUUUUUAUAAAAAGCACUUUUUUUCAUAAAAUCUAAACAAAAAAUUCAGAAAAAUUACUUUUCUUCGAAAACAAGCAGCAGGACGGAAAUAUUUUUCCAGCUAAAAAACUAAUUUCUGAGAUAUUUUGUAGAGAACCAAAAUUAAUGGAAAUAAUAUAAGACAUAAUGUUGUUAACUUUUCUUCCUAUUAAUUAAUUGCUUUGUGAAACAUAGUAAACACAUAUGUAUAUAUACUGAGAGUGUGUCCAGUUCUAUAAAUUUAUCAUGCUUGUCGAUCGAGUCAGGCAAAGUUUAGUAAUAUAGUGGCUAAAAGUAUGGCUUUUGUAUCUUAUCUGAACGAAAUGAAACAAACGAAACAGAUGCGCGCGGAGUCAACCGCAAAACAAGCGAGCCGAUGGCUCCCUUAACUUUGAGCAAGCCGGCCCCCGCGGCUCUCUCCGCGUGCCUUCCCGCCGCUCGGACGGAAGGCGAGAUCCUUUCGUCCCCGAAUCUGAAGGCGUUUACGCUGAACGAUUUAAGGAGCGCCACGCGAAAUUUCCGAUCCGACAGCCUCAUCGGGGAGGGAGGAUUCGGGUACGUUUACAAGGGCUGGAUCGACGAGCAAACUCUUUCUGCCUCCAAGCCAGGAUCGGGGAUGGUCGUUGCAGUUAAAAAGCUCAAGCCGGAGGGUUUUCAGGGCCACAAGGAAUGGCUGGUAAGCCUUCAUAAUAUAUGCUUUUUACCGCGCAUUAAUACACAAAUAUAAAUAAAUAUUAAAUAUUUCGGCAGAAAAACCCAAAUAACCCUUCUUUUGUCAACUUGGCGCUAGAGUGUGGUUUUCUGCUGAAAGAGAUGAAUCAUUUUCCGCCUUCAAAAAGACGGCGAACAACAAAUUUUCAGUAGAUACCUCAAAGAGUAUUAGAUAAGGGCAUUUAAUGGAGGAUGACGCUCUGGUUGAUGACCAUGAAUCUUCCUGAAAGCUUAAAUGGGGUAUUUAAAGAAGUUUGCGAUUUACCUAUCACGGCUUUAGAUGGCGCGGAUAGACGCUGUUUGAGCUCGUGAAAUUUGAAAUAUCUACUGAAAAUUUAUAGUAGAAAGUGAUUGUAAAUGAAAUUUGAGAUAUCUACUGAGAAUUUGUGAUACCGUCUUUUAUUAAGCGGGUAUGUGAAAAAAAUAAUCUCUUAAAAGUGGUGAAGGCGGUAAAUGAUUGACCGAUUUAGUAGAAAAUUUAAGGACAAUGAAUCAGUCGUCGUUUUCUUGAAUGCGGUGAAUGAUUCACCUCUUUGGCAGAAUUAUCCACUGAGGCACUGAGUUGACAAAAGAAGCAAGUUAUUAAUUUGGUCGAAUAAUUCUUUAGAAAAAGUUAUUUAGCCAAUUAUAAAUUUUUACAGGAUUAUUUUUAAAAAAAAUUCCAUUGUUUUCCGUUGGUGGUCGCAGACGGAGGUUAACUACCUGGGGCAGCUUCACCAUCCCAAUUUGGUUAAGCUCAUUGGAUACUGCUCGGAGGGCGACAACCGCCUUUUGGUUUACGAGUUCAUGCCGAAAGGAAGUUUGGAGAAUCAUCUCUUCAGAAGUACGUGUCCAAUUUGCGCAAAAGAAAAAAAGAAAAAAAUUAUUAUUGAAUGUAAAUCAGCGCGACUAAAGAUCUCAGUUGAAAGUACGAUACAUAUCGAAACAUCGACGGUCGAAUUGCAUUGCAUUCGAGUUUUUGGCCACGUUUUAAUGCUUUUGUUCAGUGUUUGAUAUGUUGCUUAAUCUCGCCCCGUUUUAGGAGCUCAGCCGCUACCGUGGGCGAUAAGGAUAAAGGUGGCCGUCGGGACCGCGAGGGGUCUCUCAUUUUUGCACGACGCCAAGACACAAAUUAUAUAUCGCGACGUGAAGGCCUCGAACAUUCUCCUCGAUUCGGUAUGUGCAAAUUUUCGCGAAUUCGAUUGAGAAAACGGGUUUACAACGUCUUUUUCGCUGAUACUCUUAUCUGCAGGAAUACAAUGUGAAGCUUUCAGAUUUUGGAUUGGCGAAAGCGGGACCAACCGGGGAUAAAACCCACGUUUCGACGCAAGUGAUGGGCACUCACGGUUACGCUGCUCCAGAAUACAUUGCUACAGGUUCAUUGCAGAAUCUAAAUUGCUCCUUUUUCUGCAUGUUCAGAAGAUAAAUUCAUCAUAAAUUUUGAUUUGUAGUUUACUUUAGAUCUGCAACAUAUUCUUGUAUAUAUAUAUAACGUUACCGUGGAAAAGCAACUGAGUAGUUUGGUUGGUUACAUAUCUUAGUUCGGAGUUUUUGCUGCGGCAGGAAGUUGAAAUGAGCUUCUACUACAACAAGAAGCUUUUGGUCGACGGUACUGAUCAAACUUUUGUAAUAUGUACAGGUCGGCUCUCCGUGAAAGCCGAUGUUUAUAGCUUCGGUGUAGUACUGCUGGAGUUGCUAACCGGGAGGCGGGCCCUCGACAAGUCGAAAGUUGGAAUGGAGCAGAGCUUGGUGAACUGGGUCAAGCCCUACUUAUCCGGAAAGCAGAAGCUGCACCGCAUAAUGGACUUGAAACUCGAAGGGCAGUACCCCGGGAAAGGCGCCCAAAUCAUCGCGAGCCUCGCCUCGAAGUGCUUGUCCAGCGAGGCCAAGCUCCGGCCCAAAAUGUCGGAAGUGCUCGCGACACUGGAGCAGCUGCAGGACAUGAAGCACAGCGUGUUACAGUCUCCGUCGAUCGGCGGUCGGACAGCUUAUAAUAGUCCGAUGAGAUCGCCGUUGGGGAAUCACUACCAUUCGCCGAGGAGAUCGCCGGUGGGGAAUCACUACCAUUCGCCGAGGCGAUCACCGAUCGGCGGAUCUCCCUCGGUUCCGCAAAGAAGGUACAUGCAAGUGCCCUGAAUGAGACAAGUUGCAUCUACAUCCUCUCUAUAUAUAGAGAGAGAGAGAAAGCGAUGCUUCCUUUCAAGCAAAAGGAUAUCUGAACGGACGAUCGACCUCAUUAAACAUAAUUUACACUAUUCAAACUUUAUAAGACUCGAAUUUCAUAAUUUUUCUAUAUUAUUUGUCUAAUGAUCAAGUGGUCUCAAAUUCACUUUAUAUUAACCAUUAAAAGAGUCAAUUUUAAGACCACUUAAACGAUAGGCAAAUGAUGUCGGAAAACUGUUAUAUUCGGGCACUAAAACGUUCGAAAAAGAUUAAAUUAAGUUUAACAAUGCAGGUCGUCGAAUUUGAAUUUAAUAUCGCAUCGCAGAAAAUGAGGAGGAGGUAAACACAUCCAUUUACUUCUCAAAGUAUUUUAGCUAUAUAUAGCAUUUUAUUUCUAGAGUUGUUAUAGUUAUGACCUCUAAAAACUCAAAAAUAUGAGGUUUAUUAUUAACAUAUAGGACACAUAUGUUGUAUAUAUAUAGUUUUGUUUCAUUCCACUGUUUCUCUCGUGAUGGUUGUAUAAUUAACUUUUGGAUUUUGUGUUUUUUUAAAUAUAUAUAUAUAUGCACCUUAUGCAAAUAUGUGAAUUUAUGUUGUUAUUAUUCUUUAAAAUUCGCAAAUUCGCGUGACAAACCAUAUUUAUUUGCAUUAAUAACCCUAACUGGGGUUAAAAAUAUGUAAAGGCCAUUUUGGCAUACUAGGGUUAAAAAUCAUAUAAAUUAACAAAUACCACUAUGAAUAUUCAAUUAACCUUUGAAAUUCGUACGCUCGUUCGAUUUAAAAUUUUGCGUCAACUUUUGCGCAUCAAAUACUUAUAUAUAAAGUACAAAGAAAUUAAAUUCAAAAUUAGAUUAUUAAAAUUGCAAAAUAUUGAGAUUAUUUUUGGUGAUAGAGAUAUGAAAAGUGUUAUUUUUACAAACAAUUUCUACAAUAAUUUGCAAACAUUAAAAUUUAGUGAUUAUAUGUUAUUCUUUGUUUUGUGAAUUACAAUAAUCAUUUCAUGAUUGAUAUUUUUUUACACAAAUUAAAAAGUGUUAAUUUCUCAAUAAAAAGAAUAAAUUUUUAAAAACCUGAACCUGACUAUCAAUUUCAAAACCCGCACCCGAAUACGAUCGAUUUUAAAAAUUCAUAUCUAAACCCGGACCAGACUAAAAAUUCGAAAUCCAAAUCCGAAUCCGAAACAAUUAUUUCUCUUUACAAUAUUUCACAACAUAUUAUAUUAAAUCUAAACUUUUAAAAUACAAAUUCAAAUAUAGCACUAAACAUUUAUAAAAUUAAUUCGGAUUCGAGUUCGGGUCACGUACAAUUAAAAUUCAUACCAGAAUCUAAAUUCGUUGAAUUUUCAUUUUUAAUGUUCAUAUUCAAAACUAUAUAUAUUUAUUUAGUAUAAGAUAAAUCCAAUUUGGAUUCAUAUUCAAAUCCACCCGUGAGAUUUUUUGAUUUUUAUUUUAAUUUUCUUUACCCUAAAUUGUUUUUGUUCAAAGCCCUUUACGAGGUUUGUGGUUGGUAAAAGGCCACGAGGCGUUGUCAAAGAUGACACGUGGCGGGAUUUUAGUGGUUGCCAAUCAUCACACGGUUCAUUGUGAGCCACGAGCCCUCAACCUUGGCUAAUCCAUAUUAUUAUUAUUAUUAUUAUUAUUAUUAUUAUUAUUAUAUAUAAUAAUAUAAUAAUAUCUCCAUCCUCAAAAUAUCAUUUUUUUUAUCCACAAUAAUAAAAAAAUAAAAAAAUAAAAAAAAGAGUAAACAUGCAAUAAAUUAGCCCUUAUCCUUCCAAAGAAUAACAAUCUUGCCAUUGUGCUUUUGCAUCAUGCUACCCUAAUUAAUUAUUGUUUACAUGACCAUAUGAAAUGUGUUUUUUUUUUUAUUUGUGAUUUAAAAUUUAAAUGUUAGUUUAUCGAAUGUCAAUUUAAUGUAGUUUUGACUAACGAAAUAGAGAAAUAAUUUAUGUGUAUCUAGUAUUAAUUAAUACUUUAUUUAAUUGGAAUAAAAAAUAUAAAAUCUUCAUAGUAGCUAAUGGUUAUUUUAUUAUAAUUUUUUGCCUGGAUAUGUGACAUCUAUUUUAAUAUAAUUUUUUCUAAAAUGUAAAAUGAAUUAACCAUUUUGAUGGAGAGUAUAAUUAUUUAUUAUUUAUUAUUUAUUAUUUUCUAGCAAAAGUGCAUAUAGAUUGGAGAAAAUAUUUUACUUAUGAGUAAAACAAAAAUUAUUAUACAGAAAAAAAAAGGAGAUAUUUGAAACUCUGUUUAGGAUACUUUUUAGGGAAAACUUCAAAAACCCCCCCUGUGGUUUCACACUUUUUCAUUUUAGUACCCUGUGGUUUGAAGUGUAUCAAGUUAAUACCCUGUGGUUUCUCACUUUAUCACUUUAAUACCCUGUGGUUUAAAAUGUAUCAAGCUAGUACCCUGUGGUUUUGCACUUUAUCACUUUAGUACCUUGUGAUUUAAAAAACUAUAGGGUACUAACUUGAUACAAAAUUAAAACCACAGGGUACUAAAGUGAUAAAGUGCAAAACCACAGGGUACUAACUUGAUACACUUUAAACCACAGAGUGCUUAAGUGAUAAAGUGAGAAACCACGGGGUACUAACUUGAUACAUUUUAAACCACAGGGUAUUAAAGUGAAAAAAAUUGAAACCACAAGGGGGGUUUUUGAAGUUUUCCCUACUUUUUAUAACUAAAUAAACAGUAAAUAUUCGAAAUAUAAUUUCGUGAAAAUUAAGUUACCAACAAACAAGGGAGAGUAAGGAAGAAAAAACCUUUAUACAGGUUAUUUUGUAAAUACCUAAAACUGUAUGGGCAUAACCCACAUAAAUAGGGCAAAAAAAUAAAGGAUUAAUUGCAUACAGGUCCCCGCAAAUAUAAUAAAUUACAAACAUAUUCCUAUAAAGUUUUAACUUUCAUAAGUUAUCUCUGUAAAAGUUCUAAUAUUUUCAGAUGUGUUCAUCUGAUUUGUUACAGUUAAAGAACCACUAGAAAACUGUUUAUAUUUUUAAUUUUGCCAUCACAAAUAUGUCCUCGAAAAGUUAUAAUAACAGUAUAAUAUAAGAGGUAUAAAAAUGUUAAAAAUCCAUCCGGAUAAGUAUUUAAUUUAUGAUUAACUAAACAUUUCUAACGGAUUCUAACGGUAGGGACAUAUUUGAAAAUAUUAAAACUUUUACAGCAAUAACUUAUGAAGGUUAAACCUUAUAGGCAAAAAUCUGUAAUUUACUAUAUUUGCGGGGAUCUACAUGCAAUUGACCCAAAAAAAACACAGCCUCAAAACCAUUAAAAAAAAAUAUAAAAUUAAAAAAAAUAUAGAAAUAUCUAAAAUUUCUCCACCCCUAAAAAAUUUUUGCAUCUCUUUUUAAGCUUUUGGUUCAGAGAUUUUCCUUCUCUUUGUGGCCUCUCCCUCUGUCUCCCUUCACUGUGAGUGAGAGACUGAGAGAGAAGAGCUCCGAUCAAACCCUAACCCUAACCCUAACCCUAAUUCGCAACGCUAACGCCAUGGAUAUCUGUUCCAAGCUCCGCCGAGUCGACCUCCGAUCGCGCCUCCUCCCCGUCGCCUCCCCACUCCUCGGAAACCCUCGGCUCCAUCCCCGGUCCCACCUCUCCUUCCGCCGAGGCACCCUCGUUCCCUCUUCCGGAACUGGAAACCCUAGGAUCUCCGCUCGGUUGGCUGUGGACGCCGCGGCGGCAGAGACGGAGACGGCGACGGAGAUCGAUAUCGAAUCCCUCUUCUCCAGUAGCUCCGGCGAUGGCGCCUCGAAGAAGCAGGCGAAGAAGAAGCCGAGCACGGGCGCGUCGAGCGUGUCGUCGGGGGUGCGGCUCGAGAGCAUCAGCAAAAGCUUCAAAGGUGUCACCUUGCUGAAGGACGUGAGCUGGGAGGUGAAGAAGGGGGAGAAAGUAGGGUUGGUAGGCGUGAACGGGGCCGGCAAAACCACCCAACUCCGGAUUAUUGCCGGAUUGGAGGAACCCGAUUCGGGGAACGUAAUAAAGGCGAAGGAGAACAUGAAGAUCGCGUUUCUGAGCCAGGAAUUCGAGGUGUGCCCUAGCCGGACGGUGAAGGAAGAGUUUUUGAGCGCGUUCAAGGAGGAGAUGGAGAUCGCGGAGCGAUUGGAGAAGGUGCAGAAGGCGCUGGAGAGCGCGGUGGAGGAUAUGGGGCUCAUGGGGAGGCUGCUGGAUGAGCUGGAUUUGCUGCAGAGGAGGGCGCAGGACGUGGACCUCGACGAGGUCGAUGUGAAGAUCAGUAAGCUGAUGCCGGAAUUAGGGUUCUCGCCGGAGGAUUCGGAGCGGUUGGUUGCGUCGUUUAGUAGUGGGUGGCAGAUGAGGAUGUCACUCGGGAAGAUUCUACUUCAGGUAUAUUCCGCAUUAUCCUUAUCAGUUUUAAUUGUAUUAAAGUGAAUACUAUCAUGUCUAUUUGUUGUUGAUGUUUGAUUAGAAUGAAAUUGUUAUGCAGAUAGAUUCCAAUUUUUUGUUUAAAAUAGGCUAAGUUGCUGAAAUAUCCAACUGUAAUUAUCAUAUAUAUUUUUUUCCAUCUUAGGAUGAUUACAAAUACUUACAUCCAUACAAACAAACACUCUAUAAAGCUGAAAACAUAUGGAAGCUGAAAAUUGGUUCAUCUUGGGAUGAUUACCCAACUUUUUUAAGUUUAAGUUUUGCUACCUAACCUUUCAGUUCGGUGAUUCGGUUGAUUGGUAUGUUGCUGCAUUGAGCUACAAGAUUUACUUUGCCUCCUUUGUCGGUGUUAUGUCAGACGACAUCCAUCACUUAACUCAUUGGACAAUGGGAUAAAUGUAGUUUUACCAUUUUAGAGAUGUCGAUGUGAAAAUCACGAUGUUGGUAGAUGGUUUCCCUGGUACAAACUUACUAGAAGUAUGUAUUUGAUUUAGACUGUAGGUUUAAGUCGCUCAUUUUCUGCUUGGCAUUGUUAUCUUUUAUUUAUUCUUCAUUCUGUGUCCAUUCGUCGAUUUAUCAGUUAGUAUUAUUUGCCUAUUGUUUGGUUCGAAGAAUGGGGCAUAAUAUAAGCUGACAUUUGCAGGAUCCGGAUUUGCUGCUGCUUGAUGAACCGACGAACCAUCUCGAUUUAGACACGAUUGAGUGGUUAGAAGGGUAUCUGAACAAGCAAGACGUUCCGAUGGUUAUCAUAUCUCACGACAGGGCUUUUCUCGAUCAACUAUGCACCAAAAUCGUAGAAACCGAUAUGGGGGUAUCAAGGACUUUUAUGGGUAACUAUUCGGAGUAUGUCCUUCAAAAAGCAGCAUGGGUAGAAGCCCAGAAUGCAGCUUGGGAGAAGCAGCAGAAGGAGAUUGAACAUACUAAAGAGCUAAUAAACAGAUUGGGAGCCGGUGUUAAUUCUGGGCGAGCUUCUAGUGAGGAAAAGGUUAUUAUUGUGUUUCUGGAAAAUUAAGCCUACUUCUUUUUAGACGAAUUUGUUGUGUUAUAACUAGUAAAGUCAUAGUAUCAGACUUCUCUAUUCUUCUCAUUGUUAAAUAGUUUGCAAAUAGCAUUUUUUCAAAAAACAAAGAUGUAAAUAUGUACAAUAUAUAUUUUGGCAAAUAAAACCUUUAGACGUAGAGUUUGUACCUCAAAACUUGGGGUGAAGAUAUGCCAAAUGAGCCCUUACUAGUUAUUAAUUGUUGUAAUUUGAUUUAUAUUUGUUGGUUCUAUCCUAAACUUAUUGUAAUUUACAGAAAUUGGAGAGGCUUCAAGAAGAAGGAAAAAUCGAGAAACCUUUCCAAAGGAAGCAAUUAAAGAUCAGAUUUCCCGAGCGUGGAAGAAGUGGUAGAACAGUAUUAAUGAUGAAGAAUCUUGAAUUCGGGUACGGUGAUAAGGUCAGUAUAUUUAGUACAUGUAAAAGGUUCUUUUCUGGAACAUAACUUUGAAAAUGGAUGCAUACAUUUUAAUUCUUUUUCACUUAAAAGCAGCACAUGCUACUCACUUCUCACAGAAAUUGCUAAUUCGUGCCUUUGAAAUGCACUGCCAGGUGUUGUUUAAGAAGGCAAAUCUUUUAGUUGAAAGAGGUGAGAAGAUAGCCAUUAUUGGUCCAAAUGGAUGCGGAAAGAGUACAUUGCUUAAACUUGCCAUGGGUUUGGAGAAGCCUCGUGCUGGUGAAGUUUUACUUGGGGAGCAUAAUGUAUUGCCGAACUAUUUUGAGCAGAACCAGGUAUCUUAAAUUUGGUUAGGUGCAUAUCUUUUUCUUUUAUGAUGUUAAGUUUUAUAUUCAUCGGCACACAGGCUACACGUCUAAUGUCUUGCUAGUGGAUGUUUGUUAUUCUUAUGCUGCUAAGGCCUUGUUUGGUCCCACAUUGAGCUUUUGCAAACAUGCUAUUUAAGCAGAGUUUUUCGAAGAAGCACUAUAAGCUCUUUUUAGUUUUGUAUUAUUUGGCACGGCAACAACUGUGGACUUUCGGCUUAACAAGUGCCACAUUUUUUUCUUCCUUGAGUAGGCAAGCCGUUCCGAAGCCAAAUGGAUUAUAAUUUGCACCAAGGAAAAAAAUUUGUUUUCCUAUAGAUGCAUGGAUGAUUCUUUGAGUUAUGUGAUCCUGUUCCCUUUAGAGUUGAGUAGUCCUCUUUCUUUAUGUGAUGUAAACCUGUAUAUAUUUAGGAUCAAAUCAUCUGCUCUAUAGCUAUUUAUUUACAGUGCUUAAAUUGUGAAUUUUUCUUACAUUACUUUGCCUUUUAUAGUAAUCGAGCAUUGCAAUUCUGGUUUCAGGCAGAGGCACUUGAUUUGGAGAAAACGGUGCUGGAAACAGUUGAAGAAGCUGCGGAAGAUUGGAGGAUCGACGAUAUUAAAGGUCUCCUUGGCCGCUGUAACUUUAAGGCCGACAUGCUAGAUAGAAAAGUCGCACUUUUAAGUGGUGGAGAGAAGGUAAGGAAAUAGUUACCUAUAAUUCAUCUUUCCCUUUUUUUUUCCUUGGGUUCCAUCAAAUAUUUGUUCUGUGCCAAUGUGUUUAUCAUUUUCUGUAAAGUAAUGAAACCGUUCCUCUUAAAGAAAUCUUUUUCUAUUACAAGACCAAUUCCCUUACUUAACAGAAAGUUAUUUUCUUCCGAUGGGAACAUAUUGAAGCCUCUUUAUGACACACUAGCUUAAUCUAACAUAUAUUGCGUACAGGCACGACUAGCAUUUUGCAAAUUCAUGGUGAAGCCAUCUACCUUGUUGGUGUUGGAUGAACCGACCAACCAUUUGGAUAUCCCUUCAAAAGAGAUGCUAGAGGUAAUACACUCAUUUUAAUUCAGUAUCUGAGCAGCUUUAUGUUUAUGUAUUAGGUUUAUUGCACGCAAUUGAAGCUUUGGAUUUCUUUGGAAACUUUUUGAUGUUUAACAGGAGGCUAUACAAGAGUAUAAGGGCACCGUCAUUACUGUUUCUCAUGAUCGGUACUUCAUAAGGCAAAUAGUAAAUAGAGUAGUGGAGGUGAAAGAUAAAACCCUACAAGACUAUGCAGGCGAUUACAAGGUAAGCCGUGUACCACAAGUAUAAUUAUAAACAUGUGCUUUUCUUGUGACAAUCUUUCCCCUCAUUUGAAAUAUUUGAAGGAUCUUAAGAUGAAAUUCCCACUAUGACUACUCUUUAAUGUAAAACAAAUUUUUAUCCACUUAGUUACUAUAAUUUUGGUGUAUCAAUCCACAUCUAAGUAUAAUACCACACAAUUUUACUCUGAAAUUAGAUUACACUAUUAGUCGAUAACGUUACUAAUAUCGGAGGAUCUCUUUUUGAUCAUUUGAACAGUAUUACCUUGAAAAGAACCUUGAAGCUAGAGAAAGAGAACUUGAGCGCGAGGCUGAGCUCGAGGAAAAAGCUCCCAAAGUGAAGGCAAAAUCUAAGAUGUCAAAGGUGAUUACUACUUUUUGAAUGGUUCUCUUCCUUUUCCUUUCUCUCUAAUUUCAUUUUGUAUUUUUGUGCCCUUUUCCCCUUACAUCUUCUAAUAAAGUGGGCUUUAAAUUAGGAGGAGAAAGAAGUCAGGAAGAAGCAGAAAAUGAUGGCUUUUCAACAAGCAAAGUCAAAGUCGAAAGCAUUGAAGAACGCAAAGCGAUGGAAAUGAGCAGUACCGUCCAUGAUUUAGUGUAAAUCGAAGAUCGACAGUGUAAUUAACGAUCAAAGGGCUUAAAAUCAUUGUACAUAAUAGAGACAGAAGCUAAUGAAAACAUAAUUUAUUUUACAUUAUUUUAAGAUCGUUUUUCAAAUGAUACACAACACACAUGCUUCUGCUACUGUACAUUGGUUAUUUAGUAGUAUUACAAUUUCACCUCUACAUGACAUAUUGUGUAAAAUUGCAAAAAAGGCCCUGUAGUGUCAUGCAGUUCAACAUUAAACUUGAUUACAUUUUAGGGUUUGAAUCGGGCUUUGAUCCGCAUUUAAGUGAUGUGUUUGGGUUGAGCUUUUCGUUGGAAGUUUAUCUCAAUAUGUGAAGUGACUCUGACUUGAUUCGAAUCUUGGUUUUUGAUCUUUUGAGCUUUUGCCGUGUCGGCAAUUCAUUAAAUAUGGUUUCAUAUGGCUUAUUCUUGAGUUGGAAAAUGUAUCUCCAAUAUGUAUGUACUCUAUCCAGUCAAUUUGCAUCAAGUUGUUACCAGAAUCUCCACUCUCUUUCUGUCCAAAGUGUUACUUUCUUAUUAUUUAUAAUUGUUAAUUAAGUAUAGACCGCGAACCGGCAUGUUGAUGUAAGACUAGUUUCCAUUUGUUUCGAAACCUGAGAUUCCUAUAUCAUUGUUUUUCAUGUAAAAUACUAUGGCUUGUAUUAUAUUUGGUUUUGACUUUUUAUUAUUCUUUCAGAAAUGUGUACUCUCUCUGUUAAUAACUUUGGGGAUUUCUAUGUAGGAAGUCAGAGCCUGAAUCUCUCUCUACAGGUUGGUUGAUCAAUUGAGCCUUUGAUUUUCUAUGUUGCAGUCCCUGAAGUCAUUUACAGAGAGAGAGAUUACCACAAAGGAUUGACUCCUUUGUUCACUCUCAUUCAAUUUUUCUGAAAGGAUGGUGUUUUGGGAAGGGUACAUCAGUGACGAGAUGAUGGGCACGAUCGCCGUGCGUGUACUGGGUCCACCGUGGCGCAUACGAGCUCCUCUUUCUAUUGCAGUUGCCAGUUGCUGUUGCUGGAGCGCUUUCGGCUCCACACGCAGCGAGAAGAAGAGGAGAAGAACUUGGUGCAGUUGCCGGAGGUGGCGAAGGGUGUUCUCUUGCAGCAGCUUUUUCAAGCAAUAGUUGUGCAGCUUCUCUUUUCUGUAAGAAUCAAAUCUUUUAGUACUCACAAUUGUUUUACAUGCAUGUUUAUUUAUGUAUAAUAGUAAUGCAUACUUGUUUUUGUAGUCGUGAUCUUGCAAUCUUAAAUAUGCUUUUAUUUGCUUAUUGCAGCUAACUUCUGGAUCUAGUCCAACUAAGGAAGUACCCCAACCCCCCAAUUCUCGCCCAACUCGUCCGAUUCUUCGUUGCGAUGCUCGCAAUGGACGCGUGGCAGUACUGCAUCCACCGAUACAUGCACGAGAACAAGCUCUUGUACCGCCACAAUCCACUCCUGCCACCACCGUCUGAUCGUUACCUACGCGGUCGGCGCCCUCUACAACCAUCUGCUAGAGGGACUCUUCGUAGACACCUUAGGGGGAGCCAUAUCUUUCCUCGUGUCGGGGAUGACGCUGAGGACGGCUGUGUACUUCUUUUGCUUCUCGACGAUCAAGACCGUCGAUGACCACUGCAGCAUGCUGCUGCCUGGAAAUCUCUUCCACAUUUUCUUCGAGAACGGUUCUGCUUACCACGAUAUCCAUCACUCGCUCCGGGGGUCCAGGUACAAUUACUCGCAACCGUUCUUUCUGUUCUGGGACAAGGUGAUGGGGACUCACAUGCCCUACACGCUAGUCGACCGAGAGGGCAGCGGCGGUUUCGAGGCGAGGCCGUCGAAAAUGACUAGCUAGCUCAAGUUCUUGGAUCACUAUGCGGAUUUCGAUUGUUCAAAGUGAAUUACAAUGUUAAGUUGUGUUCAAGGCCAAGUAGAGGACCUGAUGUUGUUCUUUUACACUUUGUUUACAAAAGUGCUUAUCAAGAAAUCUCUUCUUUACUGGAGAAAUUUGCUCGCAUGAAUUUAUUUUAUAUAUAUAUAUAUAUAUAUANAUAUAUAUAUAUAUAUAUAUAUAUAUAUAUAUAUAUAUAUAUAUAUAUAUAUAUAUAUAAGAAAAAGGCUUUAUUGCCAACACGAUAAACAAAAAGUCUAUAUGCAAAACGAGAGAAAAAUAUUUUGGAGCUCUUACUUUGUCAAGUGUGGGAGUGCCUAACACAACAUGCAUAUAUGAAUUUGAAUGUUUCAAAUGUAAAUAUUUUACUAUGCAGUCCCCCUCAAGAGUAGUAAAAGCCAAAAUGUUGAGACCAAUUGAGGGUUGUAGCUUAAAGUGCCUUCAUUUUCCAAUUGAGACGUUUUUAAUUUUUAUGUUUUCAUUCAUUUUUGUUUAGUAGAACUUGAAUAUAUUGUACAGUUUUUGGUGCUCAUUGGUUUAAGGGCUUUUUUUGCAAAUAGCCUCCUGAAAAUAUUUUAUUUUAAAACUAGUCCCAAUAAAUUUAUAAUUGUAAAAAUGGCCUACUCCUGUCUCCUGCUACACAAGCGCCCCGUGGGCAGGCUGAGAGCCUGAUUGGCAAGUUGAACAUGGUGAAUGAUUCACCGUGUUUCAUAUUUAUAUUAAUUUUCUUCUCUUUUAGGGAUGUCAACGGGUCGGGUUUGGAUCAGGCUUUCAAAAAUCGAAUCCGAAUCUGAAAAUUAAAUUAAAACCCGAACCCGAAUCCGAAAAUUAAAUUAAAAUCCGAACCCGAAUUCGAACCCGGCGGAUUUUAAAAAUCCAUACUCAUAUAACUUUAAUAUAUGGAUAUGGGUAUGGAUUUUUAAAACCCGCCGGGUGUGGGUUCAUAUUCGUGUUUUAAUUUGAUUUUCGGAUUCGAUUUCGGGUUUUUGAAAACUCAAUCCAAACCCGACCCGUUGACACCCCUAAAAGAGAAGAAAAGGAAUAUAAAUAUGAAACAUAAUGAAUCAUUCACCGUGUUCAACUUCACCGUGUUCAACUUGCCAACCAGCCUCUCAGCCAGCUCAUGUGACGCUUGCGUGGCGCUUGCGUGGCAUGAGUAGGUUAUUUUUGCAAUUAUAAAUUUAUUGGGACUAGUUUUAAAAUAAAAUUUUGUUAGGGGGUCAUUUGCAAAAAAAACCCUUGGUUUAAUGAAGUAUCAUAAAAAUUAAAAAUAGAGGGGCUUCCAUGCAAAAUGCAUGGGCCCAUUGGGUCUCCUCAACAUUUCAAAAUAGAGCACCCUUCUAUGCAGGGAUACAAACGGAACGGAUCCGGCGGCGGAAAGAAUUUACCAUCUCCCACUCCAUUUCUUUGCUGGAUUGGAUCGAAUUCGCAAAGACAGAUUAAAGUGACGCUAAAUUUUUGACAAAUUUUCGGUAGACCGAGAUAGAUUAAGAAAAAAAAGAAUCUCCUAACCUCUGCUUUAUUUUCUUAUAAACGAAUUGGGCACAUUCAAUACGAAUUAUUAUAUUAUUAUUAAUAUUUCUUUAUCUUAUAUUUGGCCCUCAUUUACUGUCUUAUUUGAGCAGAGAUUUCUUUUCCAUUUGAGUAAUAAUUUUUUUAAAAAAAUUGAUAUAUAAAAAGUAUAAAAUUCUGUGCUGUGAUAGAAAUUGAGAUAAGUUUUUGCAAUUAACCAAAUUAAAAUAAGUUGCUUUAUUACAAAAAUAGAAAUUGCAUAAAAUUUUCAACAAACCCAAUCCUCCCAAUAAAACACAAAACAGCUAAAAAAAAAAAAAGAUGAGAUUAUUUUUAACAUAAAUUACCCAUCCCCACCUCUCAAAAUAAAUAAACAAAAUAGCUUAAAAGAAAAAAAGAAGAAGAAGAGAGAUUGUUGGGCUUAAUCCAAUCUCAAUUACAUAAUAAAAUCACAUAAAACAAUCAACAAAAAAACACAUCUUAUUUUUUUUUCUAACUAAUCAUGGGAUUGGAACUCUACGAUCUCCCUCAAAUGGAGUUUAAACAGAGAAAAACAGAAACAGGGGAGUGGAAAGAAAGAGAAAAAGAGAAUUUCUCUACCAACUAAAUUACAUAAAUGAUCAAUACAAAAAAUAUCUAAGCAAACAAAAAAAAAAAGAGAGGAGAUUUUGAGGCUUAAUCCAAUCUAAAUUACACAAAUUUAGAUAAGAUAAUCAAACAAAAAAAUCUAUUUAAUCCUGGGAAUAGAAAUCUAUGAUCUUCCUCAAAUGGAGCUUAAACAGAUUUUGGGGCUUAAUCCAAUAUAAAUUACACAAAUUUAGAUAAGAUAAUCAAACAAAAAAAUCUAUUUAAUUCUGGGAAUAGAAAUCUAUGAUCUCCCUCAAAUGGAGCUUAAACAGAUGACGUGAGAGAGAGAGAUUCCCACGAACUAAAUUACAUAAAUUACCAAUAAAUCUCGCAAAAAAAAAAGAGGAAGAAAAGGAUAAAAAUGAGAUUUUGGGGCUUAAUUAAAAAUUGAAUCAACCAAAAUGACUUACUCCUGGGAGUAGAACUCUAUGAUGUCCCUCAAAUGGAGCUUAAACAGAGAAGCGGAAACAGGGGAAACAGCGGAGGAGGAGGAGGAGGAAGAAGAGGAAGGUGAUGAGCGCUCGUUGUGGGCCAUCCACAGCGCGUGCUCGAAGAGGAUCGCGUCGGCGUCCACAAAGACGACGCCCCCUUUACUCCUACCCCUCUUCGUCUUUGCCGCCGCCGCCGCAGCAUCCAUUAAAGCCCUAACGGGCUCCUUCUCGAGCACGGAGGGGUCGACGUGGAACACCCUCCGCUCCUUCCCCACCACCACCACCGCCAUCGUCGGCGCCGGCGAGGCGGCGGCGGCGUCGGCGAGGGGGAGGUAGCUCCGCCGCGAGGGGCGGCGCCCCGGGCGGCGGCGGUGCCGGAGGAGGGGGGCGCAGCACCCCGCCGAGGUGGGCUCGGCGAUAUUGGCGACGCGGUUGGGGUGGUGAGGACGCAUCGGUGGAGAGAGAGAGAGAGAGAGAGAGAGAGAGAGAGAGCGCAAGGGGAGUAGAGACAGAGAGAUCCCCUUUUAUAGGGGGGGAGAGGGUGUAAAUUGCAAAAUCCUAGGGUCCUUGUACUAUAACGAUUUUGCAGUUUGGUCCUCCUGUUUUUUCUUAUUUUGUUUUUUUUUCUUUUUUAAAUUAAUAGAUGUUCUAAAGUUGCACGCUCAUCUAUUUUUUAGAAUAUAAUAAAAUUCAAACUUAGAAUCUACGAUUGUAGAAUGCAGCGAAAGUAUUUUUUUGUAUUUUUUUGAAAGCAGCUCGGGUUAUAACGCAACAACUUUCGAACCAUAAAAGUUGAUUCAUGUGUUCUUGGAUCGCUCAAGAAGGUCUUCUAAGUCUCUAAACUUGCGGAAGAUCAAACUAAAAACUAACACGAUUUCUGAGUCACUGUUUAAGACCUCUAAAAUCAAUAGUUAAUAGAGGAUAUGAUUUCUCUCUCUCUCAUAAGGUGGCUCACAAAUUAUUUAUGAGUAUUUUUCUCUUUUUUUUUUUCUUCCUAUAAGAUAAUAGCUAAUAUAUUUAUAAGGAAUCUCAAAACUCUAAUAGGUAGGUAAAAGAUUAAGUCAAGUCGGUUUAUAAUUAUUAUCCUAAUAUGACUAAAGCAUAUUUCUAAUUAUUUUUUCAAUUUAAAAGGAGAUUAAGUCUAGUCCAAUUAAACAACAUAAUAACUGUCAGAUUAAAUCCGCUAUGAGCAAUUCUGAUUCGAUUUAACCGAAUGCAAACAACUAUAUUCGAGCUUGUUGGAAUUAGAGGGCAGUAGAAACUUACAAAUUGGUUUUACUAGUUUGGAUGUCCUUGUCUUGAUGGUUAUAAAUCUCUCACGUAUCUCGCCUUCUUUCACGCCUACGUCUUGCGUUACGGAUCGAACACAUCGGACACAGAUCGAAUGCGACAGAGAAUUCUCUUCUAUAUCCAAACUCCAAACUCCGGAAAUAUAUGUGAAAAUUCCAAAGAAAAAGAAGAAAGAGAAAUAAAAGAUCUAAAAUUCUUUUCUCUUUUUUAUUUCUAUCGAUCAUAUGGGAGAAAAGGGAUGUAUUUAUAAAAUAACAAAACCCUUUAAAUAUUCUAUAUUUCACAGGAAGAUUAGAAUAAAGAUUAUGAUUAGAAUAUCUAUUAACAUAUAAUAUAUAUUCAUUAAGAAAUAUAUUUCUUAACUGAUAAGAAAUAUACAAUUUAUUCUUAUCCUAAAUUUAUUAGAAUAAAUCAUUAUCCACAUCUUAUAUAAAUCAGGUUAAAUUAAAACCCGUCAAUAUGGAUACACGACAUUGCAACAGACGUAAAUUGAAAUAAAUGGGAGCUGUUCUAUCAAAUUAGCAGUAAAAUAGUAAUUUUAUAUUAAAAAAAUAACAAAUCUUUAAUACUCAAUAAUUAAAGUAUAAUAAUAAUUUAUGUAAAAGUUUAGCUGUUGAAGUGAAGGUCAAGUAAAGAGUCCAAGAAUUAAAUUAACACAAGGAGUAAUCCACAAAUAUUUUGAAAAUAAAAAAGAAAUUUAUGACUUGGUCACCUGGAUAUAAUUGAGAGAGAAAGAGAGAGAAUUAGUCUAUUUGCUGCUAAUCUGGAUAUAAUUGAGAGAGAAAGAGAGAGAAUUAGUCUAUUUACUGCUAAUCUGCUAAUCUGGAGAAAGUCGUACUGCCGGUGAUUUCUCUCUAAUUUCUUGUGUAAUUUUGCGUAGUGCGACAACGACGGAAUCUGCACCAUCCAGGUUAGUACAUGUAUUGAAAAUUUCAAAUUCGAAAUAUAGAUGUUUCAUAUUUUUAGCUGAAUUUAUUUUUAAAAUAAAUAUACGAAACGAUAGCUUGCAAUCAUUCUCUCUCUCUCUCUCUCAAAAAAAAAAAAAAAGGAAAAUAUCAACUGCGCUGAUUAACCAGUUGGUUGGAAUUAAAUCACCAGCGAUCAAGAUGUGUUAAAAAAUGGGAGUAAAAUGAAGUUAAAAAGGAAAACUAUUAAGUACAGCAACAACAUCUGAGAAUUUAUGCGAGACAUGGAGAGCAUCAAAUGCAACUAUUAAACAUCUUUAAAUAAAAAAAUAGAUAAUUACCUAUAUACUAUUUAUUCGUUUGAAAAUAUUCAAUUUAUCCUUUUUUUUCUGUCUAAAAUACCCUUUAUAUGUCCCACCGUUAUUGCAAAAUACCCUGCAGUUAUCACCUGUUAAGUUAACUUGAGUUAAACGUGAUUUAAAUAUCUACCAUAGUUAAAAAAAAAUUAAAAUACCAAUUUUGUCCUUAACUUAAGGGCAAAUAAGAAAUGUUGGUCACGGUAGAGGGGGUAUAUUUGAAAAAAAGACCAAAAGUCAAAGUAUUUUUUGUGCCAUGACUUAAGGGCAAAAAAGAAAAGUCGGUGAUGGUGAAAGGGUAUAUUUGAAAGGGCAAGAUAGUAAUUUUAUACAGAUAAUAGAGUUUAUUAACAGAUUUUAACUCUAGAGGGGUAUAUUUGAAAUAGGUUGGAACAUAAAAAAUGUAUUUUCAAUAUUAACCUUUUAAGAUGAGUAAAUCAGAAGGUCGGGAAUUUUUUGAAGGUAUAUAAGCAAUUACACCAAAAACAAAUGAAAUUUGAUUACAAUUUAAAAUUAAUUUAAAAUCAUAUCAAUGGGGAUCCGUGGCGCAAUGGUAGCGCGUCUGACUCCAGAUCAGAAGGUUGCGUGUUCGAUUCACGUCGGGUUCAAAAAAAUCCCGAAAAUUUCAAACGGAUUCAAACUUUUUUAAAUUUUUUAAAAAAUUACUGAGAAAUUUUAAAUAUACUAAAAGUAAUUACUUUUAUUGAAUUUAUUAAAAAUUGACCUUAGCAAUUAAAUUUAAUAUUUUGGUAAAUUUAGCUCUCUGGGUAGUUGGAGUAAUAAAUUUCAAGAAGCUUUUUAUUUCAAUGAUUAUUAGAAAUACACAAACAUAUUUUUGAAACUUAUAAAUUCGUUUUUGUUUCCCAAUAUAAUAUGUGCUUCAAACUUUGUAUUUAUCAAAUAAGCAUCUUAAUUUUUAUACUUGUCAAAUAUUUCAGAAGGUGGUUUCAAAUAAGCAUCUUAAUUUUUAUACUUGUCAAAUAUUUCAGAAGGUGGUUUCAAUUAAACAGUAAUUUGAAUCAUUUAUAGCAUUUUGUAUUUUAAAAUUUAAAAAAAUGGCUGAACGGUUGUGAUCAAUAUAAUAUUUAUUAUGAUUUAAGCAGUUACUAAAUUUUUAUACAUGUUACUCUUUAAUUUAUAAUUACUAUAAAAAAGUCAAACUUUUAUUAUAAAAUAAUAUUUAUUUAUAUUUAUAAUUUAUAAUAAAGUAAAAAAAAAAUAAAUUGUUCAUUGAAAAAAAUCAUAGAAUUAUUUAUAAAGAAAAUAUUUUUAAUAUGAAUUAUAACACGGAUCUCUAACACGCGGUCCGGUCGAACCCGGUCCGGUUCGAUCCCCAACCGGUAGGAUUUAUAACAACCACGAACUCUUCCGGUUCAAUUCGACCGGUUUUCUCAUUACCCCCGUCAUCGCUGCGAAGGGUGCGGGGGUGUGUUUCAUUCAACCCGCGCGAUGGGCUCAAUGGAGGGGGCGAAGGCGGAGAACGGCGGCGGCGCCGCCGUGGCGGUGGUGGCGUGCAACGGCGGCGGGGGCGGCGGCGAAAACGUGGGGCGGCGGGGUAAGGCAGCGGCGGCGGCGGCGGCGGCGGCGGCGGCGGGGACGGCGGCUCUGCCGCUGGAGGUGGGGACGAAGGUGAUGUGUCGGUGGAGGGACCAGAAGCUCCACCCCGUCAAGGUCAUCGAGCGCCGCAAGAUCUCCUCCGGGGGGGCCAACGACUACGAGUACUACGUCCACUACACCGAGUGUGAGCGCUCUCCCGACACUCCCACGAUCGCUUUUAGGGUUAGGAUUAGGAUUUGUUUGUUUUAGGGGAAAGGACGGGGGAGUUCGGUAUCUGGGAGGAUUGAGUUUGAUUUGGAUGGAAAUAGCCGAAUUGGGGGAGCUAGGGAUGGUUAGGGCUAGAGUUAGGGUUAUGGUUUGUAUGUUUGGGGGGAAAGGACGGGGGAGUUGGGUAUCUGGGAGGAUUGAGGUUGAUUGUGAUGGAAAUAGCCGAAUUGGGGGAGCUAGGGUUGGUUAGGGCUAGAAUUAGGGUUAUGGUUUGUAUGUUUGGGGGGAAAGGACCGGGGAGUUGGGUAUCUGGGAGGAUUGAGGUUGAUCCGGAUGCGAAUGGCCGAAUUGAUGGAGCUAGGGUUUUGUCUUGGUAAAUUUGCACAGGAAACCCCCCUAAAUUAUAGGCCGUUUUGAAUUAAGCAUCUUCAAUUUUUCUCCGUUGAUAGACGUUUCCCCUAAAAUUUUUUAUUCUUUUGAUAUGAAUUGUUUUCGUUGAUUAAGUUAGAGAUUUUUGUUGAAUUUAGCGAGGAAGCUGCGAGCUUUGGUAGUAGGAUAGCUAAUGCAGCUUUUAGUUUAAAUGAAUCUUGAAUUAAAUUUAGGAGAAUAGUUCAAAUUAAAACAAUUGGAAAUUUGGAGGUUUUAAGGCCUAUAGUUUGGGGAAUAUUCACACAUUUUUAACUUUUGGCCUAUUGUUACAUGAUUAUUGUUUCUUCAUUAGCGAAGGAGCUUCGGGUAGCGUUUGGUUUCGGAAUAUGGUGGGGAUAGUGAUAGAUAUCCCACUAUUCCUCCAAAUACAGUGGUUAUAUAUACUUUGUCACGUGUAAUUGGAUAGGAAGUAUAUCCUCAGAGCAAGUUUAUCCCCGCAGAUAGCAACUUCAUAGGAUUAUGGUGGAAUUAUGCUUCCCCCCUUAGAGGUUUUUACCCCAGCUAAUUACUUUAUAACUAAACCCAAGAGGGACAACUCGAAGAACUAAAACCUUAUUCCUGUAGGUUAUUUUCCUGCGUGCUUUCGACUAGGCAAUUGUAAAACUUUUUCCUGUUAUUACUGGAGCUCUUGAAUUUUCAUCUGUUGUUCUUUUAGUUCUUCUAACUUGUUAGCUACGAGUGAUAUUCUAUUUAUCAUUUGUUGAUCUGAAAUUCUGUGUGAUUAACAAGUCGGGUUUUGGAAUCCAUGCUACUCUGGCCUACCAUUUGGAGAUCUUUUGUAUAUAAUGUAGAGAUGUCUAUCAAUAUCUCAUCAUUACCUCUUUAACAUUGUCAAAGUGAUGUCAAAUGUUCAAUUUGAAAUGUAUGAUCAGUGUAAUUUCAGUCUCAUUUGGCGUUAUUCUUAUUCAUUUUAUAGCACUUGAUUGUUCUGUGUAGUUAACAGGAGGCUUGAUGAGUGGGUUAAGCUUGAGCAAUUGGACCUUGAUACAGUGGAGAGUGACAUCGAUGAAAAAGUGGAAGACAAGGUAUAACAUACACGAAAGUAACUUUCAUAUUGCUUAAGUAGAAAUCUAAUUGUUAAGUCUUGAUCCUCCCCGACUUUUUGAUUUACUGGAAACUUUUGAGAUAAGCCUACAAAAUACUCAUUUUCGGACUUCUUAAAUUUAUGUAACUAUGUUCCUGAUUUAACAUGAUAUUAGGGAAAGUGGCUUACACAUGAUCCUGUGCAAUCUGUUUCAGGCAACAAGCUUGAAAAUGACGAGGCACCAAAAGCGGAAAAUUGAUGAAACACAUGUGGAGGUAUCUUGAUUAUUAUGAUCGACAAAACCUUUUUUUUUUUUAUGUUAUUGCACUGCUUACUUAAGUCAUAUUGAUAUGACUUCCCUUUUUCAGAUAAAGCUCAUAGUGAAUAAGUAGUUGAUGUAUACUGUUUUUUCAUUCUAGAAGACAUGGACCGAAAAAGAAUAUACUAUGACAUUAAUACUUAUCAAGCUUAAUACUUGUUCAGCAAGGUCAUGAGGAGCUUGAUGCUGCUAGUUUGCGCGAACAUGAGGAGUUCACUAAAGUGAAAAACAUUGCAAAGAUAGAGCUUGGGCGAUAUGAGAUUGACACAUGGUACUUUUCCCCUUUUCCACCAGAAUACAAUGACUCUCCGAAGCUCUACUUCUGUGAGUUUUGCCUCAAUUUCAUGAAGCGCAAAGAACAGCUUCAGCGGCAUAUGGUAAGUAGUAGCUAUUUCUUUUCCUUUAGUUGGGCUUUGGCCUGCUAUUUAUUUUUGUUUAAAUUGAACAAGAUUUGCAUGAUUCACAUCUGUAUGUACAAAAUUUUUUGGUUUGCUUUAGGAGUUGUAGUUUACUUAAGCUCAGCUUAGUAAGACUAGUUAUAUAUGCUAUGCAUGUAAUCAAAACUUAGUGAAACCGAUAUCAGACUUCUGUAUUUUUAUGCUUGCUUUGUUAAUAUGCAAUAUCUCUAUCUAUAAGGUUGAUUCUUUUCAGAGACUCUCACAAAUUAGUGCCGGAAAUUAGAUAUUUCUGGUGCUGAAGAACAAUUUAUUAAACUGUUUGUGAUCAAUAUGGUCAUUGUUUGGUUCUUCUGGGGUGCAGUUUUUGCAUAGUAGGAAUAAAACAGUUAUCAUUGUUAUUUAGCUGUAGAGGUUGAUAAAUAUUUCUUUUUUCUUUCCAUGUAGAGGAAGUGUGACCUCAAGCAUCCCCCUGGUGAUGAGAUCUAUCGAAGUGGCACACUAUCUAUGUUUGAGGUAACCUUGGAUUUUCCCUCUCAGCCAAGUAGGUUCUUUAUUUUGUCCUUCAUGCAGCAGUUUCAGAUAUUUUAGUGGCCUAAAGUUCAUUGAGACAAAAUGCUCAGCUUGUGAGGUGUUCUUUGUUUUCCUUCAAGUAAAGAGAUUUUACAUACAGAUUUCUGCAAAAUCAGCUACUUACAUCUUUUUCUGAAAUAGAUUUGUGUAAGAAACAAAGUUUAAGGAGCUCAUGAACUUUCAGAUUUUGCAUGGGUGUAUACAUAAUUUGAAAUUUUUAUAGGGCGUAGAUGUCAAUAUUUCUUUUAGUACUCUUAUUUAAUAUAGCUUUGAGAUUUCUGCAUUUGCUAUUUUUAUUCUGUAUAUCUUUUCGUUUCUUUCUCCUGCAAUGUUAAUUUUCUUUUAGUUUUACUUCUACUGUGGUUUUGUGAUUUUAUUGUUAUUUGAUCAAAUACGUGUAACAGGUUGAUGGCAAGAAGAACAAGGUUUAUGGGCAGAACCUCUGCUAUUUGGCGAAGCUUUUUCUGGACCAUAAGACACUGUACUAUGAUGUUGAUUUGUUCUUGUUUUAUGUCCUUUGUGAAUGUGAUGAUCGAGGGUGCCACAUGGUUGGAUAUUUCUCGAAGGUAAUAAGUUUAAUUCUCCAUCCAUUAGAUAACUAGAAAAUGCUUGGAGCUGGCAAAAGCUGAAAAGAGCUAUUGUUUGCUACAUUGAGAAAUAGAUUUUCAAAAUUUAUUGUUUUUAAAUAUGUAGACCUUUUAGGUCUUGUAGAUCACAUCCAGUACUUCAAAUUUUCACUUAAGUCCUCAUUGAUUGGGUUUAGGAGACUACUCCUUGUCGGACCAGGCCCAGGCUACAAUUUCUCCAAACCUGAAACAACUCAAGACCCAGAUGAUCCUAAACCCAAGGAAACCAAACCUGAAGCAAUCUGUGCCCAAAUAACUUAAACCCGAAUUGACCCAAGGUUGAUCCAACCUAUCUGAUUACCACUCUAGAAAUGCUUUACCAUGAAUUUUAAGAUUGUCUUUCAUGAUAGGAUAUAGGGAAGCCACCAACUUAUUUGGCAUGCAUGUUAAAUUUCUUAAUUUGCUUUUGCUUCUGAUGCAGGAGAAACAUUCAGAGGAGUCCUAUAAUUUGGCAUGCAUUCUUACUCUUCCUCCAUAUCAGCGGAAAGGAUAUGGCAAAUUUCUGAUUGCAUUCUGUAAGCUUCAUUAUUUGGCUAUAUUUUCUUCUUCUUGGUUGUUGGUUGUCAAGUUUGUGUAUAACCUUUUUUAUGAGCCCAGCUAUGGUCCUUUUAUUAGGGCAUGAAUAAUGCAUAUUAUAGAGUUUUUAGCCCUUGGAUUAAAUAGUAUUCCAACCUACCCCCACUAAAUCUUAGGCACCCGAGAGCUAAAAAGUUAAUAGUAUGCACUAUUCACAUCCUCAUAAGAGGAUUGUAGUUUGACUUUUUUUUAUAUGAUUUUUGUCGCUUCCAUUUAUGUUGUUCUCUGCAUUUCGUAAAGGCAAUUUUCGUUUAGAUUAGACCCUACCAUUUUUUUUUUUUUUAAGACUUGGUGAAAUUUUGUUGUCUUUUUAGAACUCUGCUGAUGUUCCACAAGAAUAAUGCAUCUUACUCUAACCUUCCAAUUAGGUGUUUCCAAGUGACCUUUUUAUGUAAUUUUGCGAAAUCGUGUUGCUUUUCUUGGCUUUCUGAAAUCUGCAUGAGCAUUCGUUUAAUCAAGGAAAUCUAUUAGAGGCUAUAAACUAAUGCACCGAAGUGUGAUUUAUUAUAUAUAUAUAUUUAAAGGUAGUGCAUUCGUACAAUGCCAUCUUUCUUUUUGGCUUAUAAAUUAUUUACUAUUUUUGAGCAGCCUAUGAACUUUCGAAGAAGGAGGGUAAAGUGGGGACACCCGAGCGCCCACUUUCUGAUCUUGGUUUGUUAAGCUACCGAGGCUAUUGGACAAGAGUUCUUCUAGAAAUCCUGAAAAAGCACAAAAGCAACAUAUCCAUCAAGGUAAAUACUAUAUGCCACUUCUAUUCACUAUGUUGCCUCUCUCUCUCUCUCUCUCUCUCUCUCUCUCAGUACUUGGUUAGGCCUAGGGUGUGCUAAUUUAAUCUCUUGUUUUCGUCUUCUGGUGCAUCAUUACUCAUUGUAUACAUGUAAAGUUAAUGAUCCUACUGAGAAAAAAAAAAAUGUUCUUUCGAAAUUGUUGUGGCAAGUUAAUUUCCUAUACAACAGUAAUACCAGCAAUCUCGGCCUCAACUGUUAAACAUUAGCUUCAUUUCUUCACCACUAGGCUUAAUUGGGAGUAAUUUAGAUAUUAGAUAAAAAAUUUGAAUUAAAGCUGGCAAAUGUUUCACUGAUUUCUCUUCUUCCCAAAGGACUAUCAAUAAUACUUUGAAUAAAUUUUCAAGGAUCAAAAUUUCAAAGCUUUGAAAUGAACUGAGUGGCGUGAAGAAAUAUCUAUGAAUCUCUUCUUUGGAAUUAAACAGUAAAAGAGGAGGGUAAUACAUAUAGGUUGUUAUAUUUUGGGGCAACUAAUUUUUUAGUGGGUGAUCUGCAAUUUAACCACUUUUUAUCAACUUCAUUAUCUCCCUAUCUACACUGUCGUGUGACUUUUAAAAUGAAUUCCUAUUUGGGUAUAUCAAAAAUCUAAAUCAUUCAGAACUGUUUAACUUGUCUAAUUGUGAGUAAAUCUAGAUCCCGAACUUUCAUUUUCAUAUGCAGGAACUCAGUGAUAUGACCGCGAUAAAAGCGGACGACAUAUUAAGCACAUUGCAAAGUCUCGAUUUGAUACAAUACAGGAAGGGGCAGCACGUAAUCUGCGCCGAUCCGAAGGUCCUCGACCGCCAUUUAAAGGCUGCGGGCCGCGGAGGCCUCGAGGUCGACGUCAGCAAGCUGAUCUGGACUCCUUACAAAGAACAAAGCUAGUACUGUUCAAUCACUCGGAAUCUGAUGAACAAAUUUGUACCUAGUAGUGAAGGAGACGGGAAGUUUGUACAUAAAUAGAGAUUGUGCUUGUUGAAUGUAUUUUCGCAAUUUAGAUUAUUCGAUGGUUUUAAUUGCUAAUUUCGCCACGAAGUUGUUUGCGGAGUGGAAAUUUCAAAGGGUGGGUGGGGGGUGGGAAUCAGUUUUAACCCUCUUAUUACAUGUAGGUUGAUGCUGUAAUAUCUGUUUGUUCUUAUUUGAUCAAUUGGAGAUGUUACCAGGAAAUAGUUGUUUUGGUUUUUCUUUCCCCUCUCUCUUAACUGUACCCGGCAUUUUUUCUAGCUCCUUCAAAAAGCACAAUAUGGAAUGUUUGUAGCCAUCAAUGUGUUUUAUGCGAAAAUUUGCAUUUUUUAUUACAUAAUUUUGAUUUUCAUUCUGCUUGUAUGUCCGCAAGGCGCGAGUUCUAAAUUUAAGCUCAUACGCAAGCGCAAACUUUGAUCGCGCAGUUAGCAUGCGGGGCAUCUAACCGCUAAACUACUUAGCUUUUUAGUAAUAAAAAGAAAAAUUAGAAGAGAAAAGAAAGAUUAUUUUAAUUUUAUUUGGUUAAAAAUUCUAGAAGAGAAUGAAGGACAAAAUGGGAGAAAAAGGAGAGAAUAUUCAUUUCUCUUCUAAAAUUUAUAAUUUAUAUUCCUUUUGUUCCUUUUCCUUCACUCCUUUUCUUUUCUCGACUCUCCAGUUUGCUUCAUCCAAAAAAGUGCUUAUUUGGUUGGCCUCGAUUGUAGCUUGAUAAAAGUGAUAAUUUGAAUUGAGUUAUUUGAAUAAAUAAAUAAAAAAAAUCUUAAUAAUAUUUAGAAUUAACAUUUUCAUAAUAUAAUAUAAGUAAAAAACAAAUUUAAAUCAAUUGGGAUCCGUGGCGCAAUGGUAGCGCGUCUGACUCCAGAUCAGAAGGUUGCGUGUUCGAUUCACGUCGGGUUCAAGAAAUCCUGAAAAUUUCAAACGGAUUUAAAUUUUUUAAAAUUCUUUUCAAUUUACAAUUGUUUUUAAAUAUUUUUAUUUUACAAAUUUUUACAAAUUUUUAUAAGAUUUAUUUUCCGAACGUGUCGGAUUCAACCCACCCAGUGAAAAUUUUAUUUUGCGAACGGUGGAUCGGGUCGCGUCUCCGAACGGGUCGGAUUCAACCGAACCGAUUGUGUUCUCUUUACCUUGCGCUGUCUCCCUCGACUCUUUCCCCCGUUUCCCUCCUCCCAAUUUCCACCGUUCCCUACUGCAUCGUCUCCAACACACCAAAAUACUAAAACCCUAACCCUAGAGCUAGUUCCCAUCCGUGCUACUUUAUGCCAUUCUCUUGAUCUCUUUGCUUCGCAGUAGCCAUCCAUGGACGCUAUCUCGUCGCUUAUCCCCGCUGGUAAAUCCCCCCCUCUCUCUCUCGAUUUUUUGUUUUCCUUGAGUUUUCUGGGUAAAAUGUGAACUCCGCUAUCAAUUACAGUAUUUAUCGUGCAAUUUUUUGGUGAAUAUUUGCUUUUUUUCGGUAGUUAUUUAAUGAUCUUUUCUUUUUUCGCACUAUUGAAACAAAUUUAGUUGCCUUGGGGGGGAAAAAAGAAAAAAAAAAAACCAUACCUUUUAGGGCUCAAUAGCUUCUAUAAAACUUUGUCCUUUUGAUGCUUUCUCAUUUAUGAUAGUUUUAUGCUUCUUUUUUUUUUCUCAAAUUUUAUUGACACUAACUUAGUUGCACUGGAAGGAAAAAAAAAAAAGAAGCUUAAUAGCUACUAUGAAGUUAAAUUAUUUGAUCCUAGCUACUUUGAUUUUUUUUUUUUUUUUGCUAAUAUUUCUGUGAAUAUUUGUCUUUUUUUUUAAUGAUAUAUUUGUUUUUUUCAUUCUAUUGACACAAAUUUACUUGCAUUGGAGAAAAAAAAACAAAUUUUUAGUGCUUAAGAGCUUCUCUGAAGUUAUAUUUGAUCCUAAAUUGCUAAUUUAAUUAAUCUCUUCGCAAACAGGUCGAGAAAUGGUUCACCUCCAAAACAAAAAGGGACAUCUCUAAUUUGCGGAUCUGAGUUUGUUCCACAUUAGCUUAUUCCGAGUCCUAUAGGUCCUCUCUUAAAUGGAUAUAGAAGCUUCUUUGCCCAGUUUGCAUUCUCCGAGCUAUUAUACAGAGCCUUCUCUCGAUGAACUGGCUAAAAUAGAAGCUAUCGAUUCUGGUUACUGCAGUAGAGUUCCCAAUUUCGUCGUCGGGAAAGUGGGUUAUGGGUGCGUUAAAUUUCUCAGCAAUACCGACAUUAGGUGGAUAAAUUUGGAUAAAAUUGUAAAGUUUGAUCAUAAUUCCGUGACGGUUUACGUCGACGAAGCUGAUAAGCCCCCUGUAGGUCAUGGUCUUAAUAAGGCUGCUGAAGUAACACUUAUCCUUCGUUUAAGAUCGAAAAGUUCGGAUUAUUUGGAGAGUAAUAGGUUGCUAAACAAGUUGGGGAGGAUCUGCUUGAAACAAGGUGCUAAAUUUGUUUCAUUUGAACCAUCUAACGGGGAGUGGAAAUUUAUGGUCGAACAUUUUAGUCGCUUUGGAUUGGACGACGAUGAAGAAGAGGAUGUUGUGAUGGACGAUGCGGCAGUUCAGCCGAGUUCUGAGGUCAAAGAUAGUCAAUUAAGUUCUAAUGGGCUUGAGCUGUCCCGUUCGCUACCAGCCCAUCUAGGCCUCGAUCCGGCAAAAGUGCAAGAAAUGAGGAUGUUGCUGUUUCCUGGCGAGGAUGACAAUGAUGAUGAUACAGAACAGAACCUUUUCCCUGAUAAAAGAUUCACUAGUAGGGAAGCUAUGAAAGUGGAUUCGCCGAUUACAAGAAAGUUCCACAAUAAAGCUACUCCAAUUCCAAAGAGAGCACCACAAGCUUUAUUGGAAUACCAUACAAGCAGUUCCGAAUUAAGCCCAUUGAAUAAUAUUCUUCUGUCUGGACAAAGCAAGGGAUUAGCUGCAAAAAGGGCUAAGAUUGAAGGUUUUAAAUUGGAGGGGAAAUACUCAUCUCCUGUUGGUGUAAAAUACUCUAAUUGCGUUGUCGAUGCUGCAUUAUUUAUGGGUAGAUCAUUUCGUGUAGGGUGGGGCCCGAAUGGUGUUCUUGUUCACUCUGGUAGCCCAGUGCGAAACCCUAACAGCGGUUUAUCUUCUAUUGUUAAUGUAGAAAAAGUUGCAGUUGAUCGAGCUGUGAGAGAUGAAAAGAAUAAAUUCAGAGAAGAUCUCGUUGAUUUGUGUUUCUCUUCUCCCUUGUUUCUCCACAAAUCACUUGACCGGGAAUAUAAUGAAAUUGAAGCUGAUUCCUUUGGGCUAAAGCUUCAAAAGGUUGUAACAAAUCGUUCUAUGUUAUUGGAGAUUUGCAGGGCUUAUAUAGAGAUUAUUGAAAAACAGCUUGAAGUUGAUGAAUUGUCCACUUCUUAUCGGGUACUGUUGAUGCAUCAAGUCACGGUUUGGGAACUCAUUAAGGUUUUGUUCUCAGAGAGAGGCAGAAAUGGAAAUGGACCGUUAAAUAUCACAUACAAUGAAGAUGGGGAGGAUAUGAUGUUGGAUAAGAAAGAUAGCUCUUCUGAUAUAGAUUUUGAAUCAUACCCACUUGUUCGAAGAGCUGAUUUCAGUUAUUGGUUACAAGAGAGUGUUUGCCAUAAAAUACAGGGAGACAUUAGUUGCCUAAAUGAGUCAAAUUACUUGGAGAAUAUUCUUCUACUUUUAACAGGACGGCAGUUGGAUGAAGCUGUGGAAAUGGCUUCUUCAAAAGGAGAUGUUAGGCUCGCUAUCUUGCUAAGUCAAGCUGGCGGAUCAAUGAUCAAUCGUGCUGAUGUGGCACAGCAACUAGAUUUAUGGAGAACUAACGGGCUCGACUUUAGUUUCAUUGAGAAAGAAAGGUUGAAGUUGUAUGAAUUGCUAGCCGGUAAUAUUCAAAUUGCUGCUCAAGAUCAUUCUAUUGAUUGGAAAAGAUAUUUGGGUUUGUUAAUGUGGUACCACUUGCCGCCCGAUACAUCAUUAAGUGUUAUUAUUCAUACUUACCAACAACUAGUUAGUGAAAGAAAGGUUCCAUAUCCAGUUCCUGUUUAUAUCGAUGAAGGACCUCUUGAUGAAGCACCGGAGUGGAAUUCAGGUGAUCGGUUCGAUAUAUUGUAUUAUCUUAUGCUUCUUCAUGCUAAUGGUGAGGAGAAUUCGUCUUCUAGUCUACUCAAAACCUUGUUUAGUGCUUAUUCGUCUUCUUAUGAUCCACUUGACUACCACAUGAUUUGGCACCAACGUUCGAUUUUGGAAGCUAUUGGUGCGUUUAGUUCAAGCGAUCUUCAUGUGCUUGAUAUGAGCUUUGUAUAUCAAUUACUUUGUGUUGGACAGUGCCACUGGGCCAUUUAUGUUGUACUUCAUAUGCCGUAUCUCGAGGAUUUUCCAUGUAUUCAAGCAAAUAUAAUAAAGGAAAUAUUGCUACAGUACUGUGAGUCAUGGAGCAGGGAAGAGAAACAGCGGCAGUUUAUUGAGGAACUUGGUGUACCAACAGCGUGGAUGCAUGAGGCUUUGGUAGGUGUCGCUCUCUGAAAUUUUGAUUUGGAGAUAUUUGCAUAGAUGACCUUGCAAAGUCCUCAAUUUACAUAUUUAUUUUUCUGAAAUCUGAGUUCUCACAUAUGCCGUUCAAAAACUUAAUAUCUUAUAUAUAUACACCCAUUCACAUACAAAAUGAUCCUCUUCAAAUCCUUCUUCAGUUCUUCUAAUGCAACCAACUCAACAUCCCUUCCUCUUUGCGCCUGCUAAUUGAAUGACUCACCAAUUUCAGCUUUCAAAUAAAGUUGUUUUUGCAAAGAAUUUUCAAACUUGCAUAUGAAAUUUCAAAAUUUCUUGGAAAUAUAUGUAAAUAAAUGAUUUUGCAGGAAUGUUCUGUAUGGCUUUAUAGCUAGCUGAUAAUUUGAAAGUUUUGCAGAUGUUGUAUCUUUCAGUUCCAGUGUCUUGCCAUUGAUGGUUGAUAGUAAUAAAUAUUUAUUGCAGGCUAUAUAUUUUCAGUACUAUGGUGAUCAGUCAAAAGCACUUGAGCAUUUCAUUGAAAGCGCUAACUGGCAAAAAGCUCACUCAAUUUUCGUGACAUCUGCAGCUCCGCCUCUGUUUUUGGCAUGUACGUACAUAUUGUUCUAUUGGUUAAAAUUACUUUCACUUGGUUGCAUCUAUAUGUUGCGCUUACAUUUGAUUUUUAGAAAAUGAAUUGUAUCAGGAGUUUAGUGUGUAGAUAUUCUAUUUUUCAAUAGACAAAUGGUAUUGCUAUGCAUUUAGCCGUCUUCUCAGAUGGCCUAUGAGUGAAAUUAAUGAUUAAUUCACAAAAUGGAGUGGUUUAUAGUCAAUUAGCACCAAAUUGUGAUGUUACUUUUCAUCCAGUAGACGGCAAAUACUUAGGUGUGAGGGAGACAGGACGCAGAAAAGAGGAUCUAAUCCAACUUAUCAUCCAGUAGAUGGCAAAUACUUAGGCGUGAGAGACAGGACGCACAAAAGAGGAUCAAAUGAAUUAGAUCCUAUUUCUCUUUCAAUUGUGUAAUGAAGUUUUAUAGUCCACAAAUAACCGAUCGAUGAUAAUUUUAUCCCUAAUACUUCUUCUUUCUUAAUUUAUUAUGGUUGAAUUUAUAAAAUAUGCAUAAAUCUCCAGAGGAAAUGUAACUUACUAGCCUUUUUUAAAACAUCCACUCAGUAAAACAUUCAGAGAUAUGGCGGAUAACAAGUUCCAUGGAAGAGCACAAGUCGGAAAUUGCUGAUUGGGACGUGGGUGCGGGCAUUUAUAUUGAUUUUUACAUAUUAAGAAGCUCCUUCCAAGAAGAAAAUGCCAUGAGCGACUUGGUAAGAACUACAUCUACAGUAUGUUUUGCAUAAUUUGACAAAAAUAUAUUUGCGCAUGCAUCUCGGCAAAAUUUUGAUGUUUCAUAUGUGCCUCUCAAGACUUGAUAUAUUACUGUUUACUUAAGGAGAUGCCUAUCACUGAAGAGAUUUUUGUAAUACAUAAACAACUUCACCCACCAAUUCGAUGACUCACCAACUGAAGAAACAGAUAUGUUUUUAGAAUUUGUAUUCAAAAGGGUUAUAUAUUAUCCAAAAUCCAAUUUGAAGGAAUAUAUACGAAAUGUACAGGAUUUAACAGCCCUUCGGAAGAAUUAGCGAACUUAUAUAUUCUUUUUCUCUUCUGCAUGAUUUGACUUUCUUUUUACUAAAAACAUUGUUUUUCCCUUCCAGGGCAAGCUGGAGAGUAAAAAUGAAGUGUGUAAGAAUUUCUUCAGUCGCUUGAAUGAUUCGUUACUGGUCUGGGGAAGCAGAUUAACUGUUGAAGCAAGGUAGAAGCGUUUCAUUUUUUAAGUUCUGCAAUAUAUAAAAUCUUGAUAAUAUACUAAUAAGUAUUCUAUCACUUUAAACUGUUUGUGUAAGUUUUACCUGAGCUGACAUGAAAAAUGCGGGCUGUUCUAGUUCCUCAUAUCCAGUUAGUUUUCUAUGGCCUGACUAGAACUUUUACAGAAGAAUUGUUUGAAAGAGCACUCUUUCGCUACAAGCAAGUUUUUCAGCGCUACGCACUUAGAUACCAACUGUGUUCCGGUAUUUGCUCAUUUUUGUGCAUUCACAGGGUUUUGUAUGUGUGAAACACGCAGUGUCUUCUUUCCUAGACGAGUCUAACUUUGAUCCAUUGUCAACAGGGCAGCAUACUCGAAGAUGGCGGAGGAGCUCUGCGCACUCCUGAUGUCCACUUCGGGGGAGAAGUCAACUCCCGAAGUACAGAUGAGCUCCUUCGACACGAUGCUCACCGCCCCGAUUCCCGAAGAACACCGCGCCGGAUACCUACAAGAAGCCGUAUCGGUUUUCACUUACCUGCUCACGGAGCCAGCGUCCUAGAUCGAAAAUUCUCCCCUUCUUCUGGUCACCCAUUUGUAAUCCUAUUCUCUGUUUGCUGUAGCAGUGGAAUUUUUCACACCUUUUCGGAUGUCCACCUCUGUAAGGGAUUUUUCUUGUGUCUGCGUAGCAGGUGCGAAAUUUGCGAUUUUGUGUUUACGUAGUAAGAGUUUGAAUCUUCAUCAUUCUGAAUUUGUUUCUACGAUUCAAAUUGUUGAGGUUUGGGUUCUCUACAGAGUCAUGUAGUAAGAAUUAGAAUCUUCUUCUUUUUUGUGAAUUUGUAUCUACGAUUCAAAUUAUUUAGGUUAGGGGUUUCUGCAGUUCAUCAUAGAGAGACCAUCCCUAUUUCUGACCCCUAUUUCCAACCCCAUAAAGAUGUCGGAUCAAGUUAUUCUUCAAUAACUCGUAUAAAAUGGGGAUUUUCUGAUCUUUGGUUUUUGUUCAUAUUCUAGUAACUGCUUUCCAGAAGUCAAUUUUUUUUUUUAAAGAGUGUAAUCUUUGUAUCAAGUAUCAGAUAAGUUUUUACAAAAUUUAAUAAGUGAUCGAAUUUAUUCCUUCGAAAAUUUUAUGAUUUGUAAAGAGCCCAUGUCAGGCCGGCCCGACCUGGCAUCAUAGGCCGUGCUAGGCCACUCUAACUGAGCCCGUCGGUCCGACACAGGCCUGGGCCGUGGUGCCGAUGGUUUGGCCUGCGGCACGGCACGGCACGGCACGUCGGCACGGCAUUGCCCGCAUAGGGAGGGGAAAUUUAAACUUAAAACUUCUAAUUUCAAUUAUCAUAUUUUGAUUUUUAAUUUUUGGAUUUCAAUUUUUAAAUUUUAACUUUUAAAUUUUUAAAUUUAAAUUUAAAAUUAGAACAUCUAAUUUUAAAUUUUUAAUUUCAAGUUUAAAUUUAAAAUUUUAAUUUUUAAAAUUUAAUUUCAAAUUUAAAUUUAAAAUAUCAAAUUAAAAUUUUAAAUUUAUAUUUUAUAUUUUAUAUUUCAAAUUUUAAAUUAUAAAUUUUAUAUUUCAAAUUUUAAAUUUAAAAAUUUAAAAAUUUGUUUUAAAAUUUUGAAUUUUAAAUUUUUAAAAUUUUGUUUUUAACUUUGAAUUUUGAAUUUUGAAUUUUGAAUUUUAAAAUUUUAGGAUUUUAGUUGUUAUAAAUUCUAUGGAAUUGGACGAUAUGUAUUCAAACAGCUUAGAAAUAAAGUUGUGGAAUAUUUUUUGUAGUUAUAGAAUUUCGUAUUUUAUUUUCACCAAAACUAAAGAAUAAAAAUUUCAUGAAAUUUUUUAACUAUGCAUCUAAAUAGAGCCUCAAUAGUAUCCUCAA